rnacentral:rRNA from 1 species
UACGGAGGGUGCAAGCGUUGCUCGGAAUUAUUGGGCGUAAAGGGUAGGUAGGUGGUCUCAUUUGUCUGGGGUGAAAGCCUUGAGCUUAACUCAAGAAGUGCCCUAGAAACGGUGAGACUGGAGUCCUGGAGAGGGUCGUGGAAUUCCCGGUGUAGCGGUGAAAUGCGUAGAGAUCGGGAGGAACACCAGAGGCGAAGGCGGCGACCUGGACAGGUACUGACACUCAACUACGAAAGCGUGGGGAGCAAACAGG